rnacentral:lncRNA from 7 species
ACAUUCAAAAUAGAUAAGCUGCACAAAAGAUUUCACUGGCAAACCCUGAGAGAAAAAUCAGAUCUAACAAAGAGAACAGUAAAAUCCCCUCCCACCUCAUUAUGCCACCAGACUCACCACAGAGAGUGCACAGAUGAAAACCAAGACUACUCCACUGCCUCCAGGAUGGGCAGGAUGCACAGUUCUGAUGCACUUGUGCACCUAUUCAGAGGAGAUUUUGCUGGUUAUCUCUAAAAUUGAUAAAAUGUGCAGCUUGGAGAACAUAAGAAAAUAUUCACAAGAUUCUUUAUAAGGAAACCUAGGAAGUCUUCUUCAGAAAGCAAAGGAGAAGAGGGUACUGUGCAUCAACCAUAUGAAUGCUGGCAACUUGAAAGAAUGCUGUAACAGCUGGACCUGUUUGCAAAAAGCAUCUGCAGUGUCAGUACAUCCAUCAAGACUAAACCAAUCUACAGCAGUAGAGCCAGCAUUGGUCAAAGGUACUAAACUUUAAGACCUUAAGCCCUCAAAAUGACAUGUAUCUGUAAAGCAAGCUCCACAGAUCCAUGCUAUCUCACCUCAGCUUUAGUCUGAAAGCAGCAGAUCUAAAGAUAAGAGGAGAGGUCAUGCUCUGUUGCCACAAUUAAAAGCAGUUUAAAAUAUGUUAAUGAGGAACAGAUUUUCAGAAGAAUUUAGUACCAGGAAGAGCAGAAUGAUCUCUGCUCAGAGGUCCUAAGAUCUUAGCUGUCAUCAAGGUACCUGACGGUCAACACUUUUUUGUGAUCCCGUAGGGAACCAACUCAAGGUUGUGAGUGGCCAAAUAUCUCUAGCAAUUUAUCUCCAUGUUCUUCUUCCAGUAUUCUGCCCCUUAUGAAUAUAUAUUUAGAUGCAACAAUAAUUGAUGCUGAGCAUUAGUCAGACAGUGGUACAUUUUAGGCCUUGACCGUACUGUUUGAACUGCUGACCCUGAGAGAAAAGGUUUUAUAUAUCAUUCCCAAUUCCCUAAGUCUCCCUGUCACUGCAAAGCAAAUACUUGACUUUUAUGGAUGGAUUCAGUUUCAAGUCAGUUGUUUUUCUAAUGUCUUUUUAAAGUUACAAAAGUGGCUUUCAGGGAGCAUUUGUAAACAUAGGCACAUUUUUCAGUACAGAUCAUUACCAGCACAGACAGGCCUUUUUGUAAUGUAACGUAUGGUUAGCUUUACUCUUUCUGGUAGAGUUCUUUAACCAAAGUAUUACAAGACAAAUCCUCCAGAUCUCUAGACUCUGUCCCCCCUUGACCAUGAGCACAGCCUUGCAGUUGCUGCAGCCAUGCAACUCUCAUCCUUCCCCAGAGAAACAACUUUCUACAGUUACUUUACUUUCUUAGCUACUCUUAUUGGAACAUUUACAUUCUAUAUAAAUAUUUAAAGGCACAGACACAAAGCACAAAUAUAUUCUCAAUUUUAAGAUACACAGUAACUACCAUUUUCAAAGCUAUU